CUACGGGGGGCAGCAGUGGGGAAUAUUGCACAAUGGGCGCAAGCCUGAUGCAGCCAUGCCGCGUGUAUGAAGAAGGCCUUCGGGUUGUAAAGUACUUUCAGCGGGGAGGAAGGGAGUAAAGUUAAUACCUUUGCUCAUUGACGUUACCCGCAGAAGAAGCACCGGCGUAACUCCGUGCCAGCAGCCGUCGGUAAUACGGAGGGUGCAAGCGUUAAUCGGAAUUACUGGGCGUAAAGCGCACGCAGGCGGUUUGUUAAGUCAGAUGUGAAAUCCCCGGGCUCAACCUGGGAACUGCAUCUGAUACUGGCAAGCUUGAGUCUCGUAGAGGGGGGUAGAAUUCCAGGUGUAGCGGUGAAAUGCGUAGAGAUCUGGAGGAAUACCGGUGGCGAAGGCGGCCCCCUGGACGAAGACUGACGCUCAGGUGCGAAAGCGUGGGGAGCAAACAGGAUUAGAUACCCUCGUAGUC
rnacentral:rRNA from 1 species